rnacentral:ncRNA from 1 species
CCUAACCAUUUGAUGGUUGGGCCACACGUCAGUUUAUUUAUCUAAGUUUAAGAUGAUUUAAACUAGAAUGCAAAAAUUUCUUACGAGAAAUUUUGGUGAAGUCUUUGACUGAAUUGGUAUACUGGCUAAAAAUU